rnacentral:rRNA from 1 species
CAGACUUGACAUGCAUUGGACGCGUGUGGAAACACACGUUCCCUUCGGGGCCGGUGCACAGGUGCUGCAUGGCUGUCGUCAGCUCGUGUCGUGAGAUGUUGGGUUAAGUCCCGCAACGAGCGCAACCCUUGUCCUUAGUUGCUAACGGGUAAAGCUGAGCACUCUAAGGAGACUGCCGGUGAUAAACCGGAGGAAGGUGGGGAUGACGUCAAGUCCUCAUGGCCCUUACGUCUGGGGCUACACACGUGCUACAAUGGCCGGUACAGAGGGUUCCGAUACCGCGAGGUGGAGGCAAUCCCAAAAAACCGGUCUCAGUUCGGAUUGCAGUCUGCAACUCGACUGCAUGAAGUCGGAAUCGCUAGUAAUCGCUGAUCAGCAGGCAGCGGUGAAUACGUUCCCGGGCC